GACGAACGCUGGCGGCGUGCUUAACACAUGCAAGUCGAGCGGACAGGCCCUGCUCUUGUGGCGUUCUCGUUUGGCGAACGGGUGAGUGAAACGUGAGUAAAAUGCCCUUGUCUUUGUGGUAAAAUCUGGGAAAUGGGGCUAAUACCGGAUAGGAGCUUCUGAUGCGUGGUGGUGAUAGGAAAGUUUCGGCGGUUGUGGAUGGACUCGCGGCUUAUCCGCUUGUUGGUGGGGUAGUGGCUUACCAAGGCUGUGACGGGUAGCCGGCCUGGGAGCGUGAACGGCCACAUUGGGACUGCGGUACGCCCCAGUCUCCUACGUGACGCAGAAGUGGGGAAUAUUGCACAAUGGGCGGAAGCCAGAUGCGGCGACCUUGCGUGCGUAAUGACGGCCUACGAGUUGUAAACAGAUGUCUACUUUGACGAAGAGUUAUUGACGGUAAUGGGUAAAAAAGCACCGGCUAACUACGUG
rnacentral:rRNA from 1 species